rnacentral:rRNA from 1 species
GACGAACGCUGGCGGCGUGCCUAAUACAUGCAAGUAGAACGCUGAAGGAGGAGCUUGCUUCUCCGGAUGAGUUGCGAACGGGUGAGUAACGCGUAGGUAACCUGCCUGGUAGCGGGGGAUAACUAUUGGAAACGAUAGCUAAUACCGCAUAACAGUAGAUGUUGCAUGACAUUUGCUUAAAAGGUGCAAUUGCAUCACUACCAGAUGGACCUGCGUUGUAUUAGCUAGUUGGUGAGGUAACGGCUCACCAAGGCGACGAUACAUAGCCGACCUGAGAGGGGGAUCGGCCACACUGGGACUGAGACACGGCCCAGACUCCUACGGGAGGCAGCAGUAGGGAAUCUUCGGCAAUGGACGGAAGUCUGACCGAGCAACGCCGCGUGAGUGAAGAAGGUUUUCGGAUCGUAAAGCUCUGUUGUAAGAGAAGAACGAGUGUGAGAGUGGAAAGUUCACACUGUGACGGUAGCUUACCAGAAAGGGACGGCUAACUACGUG